UACGUAGGGUGCAAGCGUUGUCCGGAAUUAUUGGGCGUAAAGAGCUCGUAGGCGGUUCGUCGCGUCGGCUGUGAAAACCCGGAGCUCAACUCCGGGCCUGCAGUCGAUACGGGCGGACUUGAGUGUUGCAGGGGAGACUGGAAUUCCUGGUGUAGCGGUGAAAUGCGCAGAUAUCAGGAGGAACACCAGUGGCGAAGGCGGGUCUCUGGGCAACUACUGACGCCGAGGAGCGAAAGCGUGGGGAGCGAACAGG
rnacentral:rRNA from 1 species